AUAUCACUAAGCGGAGAAAAAGAAAUAACAAUGAUUCCUACAGUAACGGCGAGUGAAGUAGGAUAAGCCCAUAGCCGAAUUCCGCUGUCCUCGACGGCAGCUGGAAGUUGUGGCGUUGGGAACUGCCUAUUGUAACCGAUCGGUCGGGCUACGCGACUCCUCUUGAUUGUGGUUUGCCUAUAGCAGGUGAAAGGCCUAUUGGUCGUAGCCUCGUGCAGAAGACCGGCGGUGAUGGCAGUCCCUUAGA
rnacentral:rRNA from 1 species